UGUUUCUGUGGUGUAGUGGUUAUCACGUUUGCUUUACACGCAAAAGGUCUCCGGUUCGAUCCCGGGCAGGAACAUCUAG
rnacentral:tRNA from 1 species